GUGCUAACGUCCGUCGUGGAGAGGGAAACAACCCAGACCGCCAGCUAAGGUCCCCAAGUACUAGUUAAGUGGGAAACGAUGUGGGAAGGCAUAGACAGCCAGGAGGUUGGCUUAGAAGCAGCCACCCUUUAAAGAAAGCGUAAUAGCUCACUGGUCGAGUCGGCCUGCGCGGAAGAUGUAACGGGGCUAAAACUAGUCACCGAAGCUGCGGAUGUGCGCGAAGGCGCACGUGGUAGGGGAGCGUUCUGUAGGCUGAUGAAGGUGCAUUGAGAAGUGUGCUGGAGGUAUCAGAAGUGCGAAUGCUGACAUGAGUAACGAUAAUGUGGGUGAAAAGCCCACACGCCGGAAGUCCCAGGUUUCCUGCACGACGUUAAUCGGAGCAGGGUGAGUCGGCCCCUAAGGCGAGGCU
rnacentral:rRNA from 1 species